rnacentral:lncRNA from 1 species
AAAAACUUCAAAUAAGCAAUUUAACAAUGAACCUUAACCAGAAAAGCAAGAGCAAAACAAACACAAAAUUAGAAGAAAACAAAUAAUAAAAAUUAGAGCAUAAAUAAAUAAAAUUGAAAUAAAAAUCAAUGCAAAAGAACAAUGAAACAAAAAGUUGCUUUUUUUCAAAAGUUAAACAAAACUGACAAGCCUUUAGCAAGACUGAGAAAAAAGAGACAAGAUACAAAUCAGAAAUGAAAAAGACAUUACAACUGACACUGCAGAAAUUCAAAGGAUCAUUAGGGGCUACUAUGAGCAACUCUAUGCCAAUAAAUUGGAAAAUCUAGAAGAAAAUUCCUAGA